ACUCCACCAACUUUGGGCCCCCUAUUUAUGUGUGAAUGUUGUUGUGUAUUUGCUUAUUACGAAUGAUUUACUGAACACUUCUGCUUGUCUGCACUCUGUGUCUGAAUUUUCCUUUGGAAUGCUAAUUGUUGUGUUUUUCUCCCCUGAAUUCUCCCACUGCUCAUAUGUAAAUUCCUCUGCGAUUCUCACUAUAACUCCACACUUGUGAAUUUCUCACUAUACACUGUAUUAGAAUACUCUGUCUGUCCCUUGCUUCUAAAAUGCUCUCCUUUGUGGAAUGUCCAAUUGAAUUGUGAUUGAUUUUGAUUUGCUCAAUUAACUUUCAAUUUCAUUAACUUCAUUGAUCAGCAAUCUAAAUUGAACUGUCACAUUAAUUUUUUAUUUUCAGCACAUAUUUUUAACCUCUUUUUCUUUCCUCACAAGUUUGCAGAUUUGAAGACUUGGUGCACUUCAUUUUUUCCUCUUUUAUCUUUCUCUAUUUUUUUUUUUUUGUAUUUUUUCUGUAUUUGUAUUUUUUUAAUAAAAUUUCUUUUACCCCUUGUUUUUGUAAAUAUAAGACACCUAGACAAAUUAGGGUGUCUACACAUCUCGGUGUUUUUCUCGCGGUGGCUGGGCAUCUUUGUGGCUGUCGGCAGUUUCUGUGGUGGUCAGCAGCUUCGAUUUCUCCUGGUGUGAUCAAAGAAGGUGCUGUGUUUCUUCCUCUGCUGUGACGUUUUUCACACAGGCUAAUCCUUCAGCAGAUGCAAUUAAAGAUGACAGCGGUGAUGUUCAAGCUCAGAAUUCCUUUUUGAAGAAAACAAGUUAUGAUCUCCACGAGAUGAGAAGCAACAAUUCCUGGGACAGCUCCUAAGGUUGUUAAAGCUGGGCCUAAAAGGAGGCAGGAAAAAAGGGAAAGCCUAACUGGACUCUCCUACAAGGAGCUUGAAUUACCUAUUAAAACAGGAGGGGGCAAAAAACCUCAUUCAAACUCAUAAAGGAAAAUUAAACCUGAUGGCUUCUAUCUCAAUGAAUCUCCACAGGGAUUGGGUUUCUCUAACAAAAUAGUUCGAAGUCUUCUAGGG